GACGAGUGAACUUGUUCACGAAGCAAUCGGAAGUGGUUCCAAGAAAAGCCUCUAAGCUUCAGUCAUACGAGACCGUACCGCAAACCGACACAGGUGGGCGAGAUGAGUAUUCUAAGGCGCUUGAGAGAACUCGGGAGAAGGAACUCGGCAAAUUGGUACCGUAACUUCGGGAAAAGGUACGCCCCGGUAGCUUGAUUGGUUUACUCCAUGAGGGUGAAAGGGUUGCAAUAAACUGGUGGCUGCGACUGUUUAAUAAAAACACAGCACUCUGCAAACACGAAAGUGGACGUAUAGGGUGUGACGCCUGCCCGGUGCUGGAAGAUUAAAUGAUGGGGUGCAAGCUCUUGAUUGAAGUCCCAGUAAACGGCGGCCGUAACUAUAACGGUCCUAAGGUAGCGAAAUUCCUUGUCGGGUAAGUUCCGACCUGCACGAAUGGCGUAACGAUGGCCACACUGUCUCCUCCCGAGACUCAGCGAAGUUGAAAUGUUUGUGAUGAUGCAAUCUACCCGCGGCUAGACGGAAAGACCCCAUGAACCUUUACUGUAGCUUUGCAUUGGACUUUGAACCAAUCUGUGUAGGAUAGGUGGGAGGCUUUGAAGCGGGGACGCUAGUUCUCGUGGAGCCAACCUUGAAAUACCACCCUGGUUUGUUUGAGGUUCUAACCUUGGUCCGUUAUCCGGAUCGGGGACAGUGCAUGGUAGGCAGUUUGACUGGGGCGGUCUCCUCCUAAAGUGUAACGGAGGAGUUCGAAGGUACGCUAGAUACGGUCGGACAUCGUGUUGAUAGUGCAAUGGCAUAAGCGUGCUUAACUGCGAGACUGACAAGUCGAGCAGGUACGAAAGUAGGACAUAGUGAUCCGGUGGUUCUGUAUGGAAGGGCCAUCGCUCAACGGAUAAAAGGUACUCUGGGGAUAACAGGCUGAUUCCUCCCAAGAGUUCAUAUCGACGGGGGAGUUUGGCACCUCGAUGUCGGCUCAUCACAUCCUGGGGCUGUAGCCGGUCCCAAGGGUAUGGCUGUUCGCCAUUUAAAGUGGUACGUGAGCUGGGUUUAAAACGUCGUGAGACAGUUUGGUCCCUAUCUGCCGUGGGCGUUGGAAAUUUGAAGGGGGCUGCUCCUAGUACGAGAGGACCGGAGUGGACGAACCUCUGGUGUACCGGUUGUCACGCCAGUGGCAUUGCCGGGUAGCUAAGUUCGGAAGAGAUAACCGCUGAAAGCAUCUAAGCGGGAAACUUGCCUUGAGAUGAGAUUUCCCAGAGCCUUGAGCUCUUUGAAGGGUCGUUCGAGACCAGGACGUUGAUAGGCUGGGUGUGGAAGUGCAGUAAUGCAUUAAGCUAACCAGUACUAAUUGCCCGUACGGCUUGUCCCU
rnacentral:rRNA from 1 species